GGUUAAGCGACUAAGCGUACACGGUGGAUGCCCUGGCAGUCAGAGGCGAUGAAGGGCGUGCUAAUCUGCGAUAAGCGCCGGUAAGGUGAUAUGAACCGUUAUAACCGGCGAUACCCGAAUGGGGAAACCCAGUGUGAUUCGUCACACUAUCAUUAACUGAAUCCAUAGGUUAAUGAGGCGAACCGGGGGAACUGAAACAUCUAAGUACCCCGAGGAAAAGAAAUCAACCGAGAUUCCCCCAGUAGCGGCGAGCGAACGGGGAGGAGCCCAGAGCCUGAAUCAGCAUGUGUGUUAGUGGAAGCGUCUGGAAAGGCGCGCGAUACAGGGUGACAGCCCCGUACACAAAAGCGCAUGUGCUGUGAGCUCGAUGAGUAGGGCGGGACACGUGGUAUCCUGUCUGAAUAUGGGGGGACCAUCCUCCAAGGCUAAAUACUCCUGACUGACCGAUAGUGAACCAGUACCGUGAGGGAAAGGCGAAAAGAACCCCGGCGAGGGGAGUGAAAAAGAACCUGAAACCGUGUACGUACAAGCAGUGGGAGCACCCUUCGGGGUGUGACUGCGUACCUUUUGUAUAAUGGGUCAGCGACUUAUAUUCUGUAGCAAGGUUAACCGUAUAGGGGAGCCGGAGGGAAACCGAGUCUUAACCGGGCGUUAAGUUGCAGGGUAUAGACCCGAAACCCGGUGAUCUAGCCAUGGGCAGGUUGAAGGUUGGGUAACACUAACUGGAGGACCGAACCGACUAAUGUUGAAAAAUUAGCGGAUGACCUGUGGCUGGGGGUGAAAGGCCAAUCAAACCGGGAGAUAGCUGGUUCUCCCCGAAAGCUAUUUAGGUAGCGCCUCGUGAAUUCAUCUCCGGGGGUAGAGCACUGUUUCGGCUAGGGGGCCAUCCCGGCUUACCAACCCGAUGCAAACUGCGAAUACCGGAGAAUGUUAUCACGGGAGACACACGGCGGGUGCUAACGUCCGUCGUGAAGAGGGAAACAACCCAGACCGCCAGCUAAGGUCCCAAAGUCAUGGUUAAGUGGGAAACGAUGUGGGAAGGCCCAGACAGCCAGGAUGUUGGCUUAGAAGCAGCCAUCAUUUAAAGAAAGCGUAAUAGCUCACUGGUCGAGUCGGCCUGCGCGGAAGAUGUAACGGGGCUAAACCAUGCACCGAAGCUGCGGCAGCGAACGUAUCACCCAAGACAACUUUACGGAGUUGACGAUUGACGGAGCGAAGCGACGUCAAAGCGUUCAUUAAAGUCGAGUUGGCUUAGGGAUACGUUCGUUGGGUAGGGGAGCGUUCUGUAAGCCUGUGAAGGUGUGUCGUGAGGCAUGCUGGAGGUAUCAGAAGUGCGAAUGCUGACAUAAGUAACGAUAAAGCGGGUGAAAAGCCCGCUCGCCGGAAGACCAAGGGUUCCUGUCCAACGUUAAUCGGGGCAGGGUGAGUCGACCCCUAAGGCGAGGCCGAAAGGCGUAGUCGAUGGGAAACGGGUUAAUAUUCCCGUACUUGGUGUUACUGCGAAGGGGGGACGGAGAAGGCUAUGUUGGCCGGGCGACGGUUGUCCCGGUUUAAGCGUGUAGGUGUGUGUUCCAGGUAAAUCCGGUU
rnacentral:rRNA from 1 species